rnacentral:tRNA from 1 species
GUGUCUGUGGUUUAAUGGCAGAACGUCCGGUUGUGGACCGGAAGAUGAGGGUUCGAUUCCCCCAGACACC